rnacentral:rRNA from 1 species
AGAGUUUGAUCAUGGCUCAGAAUCAACGCUGGCGGCGUGCCUAACACAUGCAAGUCGAACGCGAAAGGGGCUUCGGUCCUGAGUAGAGUGGCGAACGGGUGAGUAACACGUGGGUGAUCUACCUUCGAGUGGGGGAUAACGUCCCGAAAGGGACGCUAAUACCGCAUGACGUUCUGGGUUUAAAGACCUGGAAACCAAAGCCGGGGACCGCAAGGCCUGGCGCUUGAAGAGGAGCCCGCGUCCGAUUAGCUAGUUGGCGGGGUAAUGGCCCACCAAGGCGACGAUCGGUAGCCGGCCUGAGAGGGCGGACGGCCACACUGGAACUGAGACACGGUCCAGACUCCUACGGGAGGCAGCAGUGGGGAAUUGUUCACAAUGGGCGCAAGCCUGAUGACGCAACGCCGCGUGGGGGAUGAAGGUCUUCGGAUUGUAAACCCCUGUCGAACGGGACGAAAGACCCGGGAGCUAAUCAUCCUGGGAGUGACGGUACCGUUAAAGGAAGCCACGGCUAACUCUGUGCCAGCAGCCGCGGUAAUAC